GGUGUUUUGUCUGCAUGUAUGUCAGUGCUCCACAGGCAUGCUUGGUGCCUACGGAGGCCAGAAGUGUGCUGUGUUGGAUCUCUGGCUUCGAUCUCCUGGACUCAGGUGAGCCUCCUGUCCCAGCCUGUGGAGCAUCUGGGAUUAUCACUGCUUGCUGCCUGUAUACUCGGCAUGUAACCUGACCUUGGACAGACUUGGGCCAAGAAUAUCCAGGACUCUCAGUUUGAAUA
rnacentral:lncRNA from 1 species